UGGGUAGUCCAUAACGAGCGCACCCUAUUUUUAGUUACCAGCGAGUAUGUCGGGAACUCUAGAAAGACUGCCUGUGUAAACAGUGAGGAAGGUGGGGAUGACGUCAAAUCAUCACGGCCCUUAUGUCUUGGGCUACACACGUGUUACAAUGGUUACUACAAUGGGCUGCCAUCUGGCAACAGAGAGCAAAUCCAUAAAGGUAAUCCCAGUUCGGAUCGGAGUCUGCAACUCGACUCUGUGAAGUUGGAUUCGCUAGUAAUCGUAUAUCAGCAAUGAUACGGUGAAUACGUUCCCGGGCCUUGUACACACCGCCCGUCAAGCCAUGGAAGUUUGGAGUGCCUAAAGUCAGUAACCGCAAGGAUCUGCCUAGGGUAAAACAGAUAACUAGGGCUAAGUCGUAACAAGGUAGCCGUACCGGAAGGUGUGGCUGGAAUAUCUCUUUUUUUGAGUAUUGUUUGUAUUAAUUCUAUCUUCUUUUUUUCCCUUUCUC
rnacentral:rRNA from 1 species